rnacentral:rRNA from 1 species
CCUAAGGUAGCGAAAUUCCUUGUCGGGUAAGUUCCGACCUGCACGAAUGGCGUAAUGAUGGCCAGGCUGUCUCCACCCGAGACUCAGUGAAAUUGAACUCGCUGUGAAGAUGCAGUGUACCCGCGGCAAGACGGAAAGACCCCGUGAACCUUUACUAUAGCUUGACACUGAACAUUGAGCCUUGAUGUGUAGGAUAGGUGGGAGGCUUUGAAGUGUGGACGCCAGUCUGCAUGGAGCCGACCUUGAAAUACCACCCUUUAAUGUUUGAUGUUCUAACGUGGGCCCGUAAUCCGGGUUGCGGACAGUGUCUGGUGGGUAGUUUGACUGGGGCGGUCGCCUCCUAAAGAGUAACGGAGGAGCACGAAGGUUGGCUAAUCCUGGUCGGACAUCAGGAGGUUAGUGCAAUGGCAUAAGCCAGCUUGACUGCGAGCGUGACGGCGCGAGCAGGUGCGAAAGCAGGUCAUAGUGAUCCGGUGGUUCUGAAUGGAAGGGCCAUCGCUCAACGGAUAAAAGGUACUCCGGGGAUAACAGGCUGAUACCGCCCAAGAGUUCAUAUCGACGGCGGUGUUUGGCACCUCGAUGUCGGCUCAUCACAUCCUGGGGCUGAAGUAGGUCCCAAGGGUAUGGCUGUUCGCCAUUUAAAGUGGUACGCGAGCUGGGUUUAGAACGUCGUGAGACAGUUCGGUCCCUAUCUGCCGUGGGCGCUGGAGAACUGAGGGGGGCUGCUCCUAGUACGAGAGGACCGGAGUGGACGCAUCACUGGUGUUCGGGUUGUCAUGCCAAUGGCACUGCCCGGUAGCUAAAUGCGGAAGAGAUAAGUGCUGAAAGCAUCUAAGCACGAAACUUGCCCCGAGAUGAGUUCUCCCUGAGACUUAGAGUCUCCUGAAGGAACGUUGAAGACGACGACGUUGAUAGGCCGGGUGUGUAAGCGCAGCGAUGCGUUGAGCUAACCGGUACUAAUGAACCGUGAGGCUUAACCUU